rnacentral:rRNA from 1 species
UACAGAGGUCUCAAGCGUUGUUCGGAUUCAUUGGGCGUAAAGGGUGCGUAGGUGGCGCCGUAAGUCGGGUGUGAAAUUGCGGAGCUUAACUCCGAAACUGCAUUCGAUACUGCGGUGCUUGAGGACUGGAGAGGAGACUGGAAUUCAUGGUGUAGCAGUGAAAUGCGUAGAGAUGUGGAGGAACACCGAUGGCGAAGGCAGCCCCCCUGGGCUAACACUGACGCUCAUGCACGAAAGCGUGGGGAGCAAACAGG